rnacentral:tRNA from 1 species
UGGCUCAGAGGUUAAGAGCACUGGCUGCUCUUCCAGAGGCCCUGGGUUCAAGUCCCAG